AGAAAAAAAAAAUAAAGAAAUUAACAAAGAUAGCAAUGGCGCAUGCAAACUCAAGAAGUUUCCGGUGCAAACCACUGGCAGCAGACCAACACCGCUAUGUAUGUCGGCGAUCUUCACCGCAACGUCACCAAAUGCCAGUUCUACAAUCUCUUCAACCAGAUUGGCAAAGUUUCUUCCGUUAAGAUAUGCAAGAACAUGUUAACCAGAGAAUCUCUCAGUUACGGCUACGUCAAUUUCACUGACCCGCUCAUCGCGGAUAAAGCAAUAUAAGAACUGAAUUUCUCUCCGCUGAAUGGUAAACCUAUUAGGAUAAUGCACUCUAACCGGGACCCUAGCGUUCGGAACAAUGAUGAAGCUAAUCUUUUUGUGAAGGCAGUGGAUCACAAGGGUUUUUGGGAUAUGUUUUCGCCCUUUGGGACUAUUGUUUCUAAAAAGACUGCGACAGAUGAUUCUAGCGAGUCAAAAGGCUAUGGUUUUGUGCAAUUUGAGAGUGAACAAUCUGCUAAAAACACAACUUACAUGCUAAGCGGCACCAUGAUGAAUGGUAAACAGGUGUAUGUGGGUCCUUUAAUUUCGUGCGGAAGGAGAGUAGAGGGAGUACUAGUGCUCCAAGUUGCGACAACUUUAGCAAUGUCUAUGUGAAAAGCCUGUCCAACUCAACUACGG